rnacentral:rRNA from 1 species
GACGAACGCUGGCGGCGUGCUUAACACAUGCAAGUCGAACGGAAAGGCCCUGCUUUUGUGGGGUGCUCGAGUGGCGAACGGGUGAGUAACACGUGAGUAACCUGCCCUUGACUUUGGGAUAACUUCAGGAAACUGGGGCUAAUACCGGAUAGGAGCUCCUGCUGCAUGGUGGGGGUUGGAAAGUUUCGGCGGUUGGGGAUGGACUCGCGGCUUAUCAGCUUGUUGGUGGGGUAGUGGCUUACCAAGGCUUUGACGGGUAGCCGGCCUGAGAGGGUGACCGGCCAAAUUGGGACGGAGAUACGGCCCAGACUCCUACGGGAGGCAGCAGUGGGGAAUAUUGCACAAUGGGCGGAAGCCUGAUGCAGCAACGCCGCGUGCGGGAUGACGGCCUUCGGGUUGUAAACCGCUUUCGCCUGUGACGAAGCGUGAGUGACGGUAAUGGGUAAAGAAGCACCGGCUAACUACGU